AUACCUUUCUCGGCCUUUUGGCUAAGAUCAAGUGUAGUAUCUGUUCUUAUCAGUUUAAUAUCUGAUAUGUGGGCCAAUGGUCCACACGAUAUUAAAUUAAUUUUUUGAAGGGGAGAUUUCAAUGCAGUAGCUUGCUACUGGGGAUCUCAUGUGUCGCUCAAGUCUUGCACUAUAGCUUGAGAAGGCACACCCUAU
rnacentral:snRNA from 2 species